rnacentral:rRNA from 1 species
UCACUUUCAACAACGGAUCUCUUGGCUCUCGCAUCGAUGAAGAACGUAGCGAAGUGCGAUAAGUAAUGUGAAUUGCAAAUUCUGUGAAUCAUCGAAUCUUGAACGCAAAU